AUGGAUGUGGAAAAGCAUGAAGCACGCAGGAAGAUGUGUGUAAUUCUGUCUGAUUUAGUAUAUAUUUUCUCAUCUAUAGAAGCUCCACGGAAAGGACUUGAGAAUGGGGGUCCUUCUGCCAUGUUGGGGCAGAGUCUGAACUCUCUUAAUACGGCAGGCACAGGUAAAACCCCACAGAAAACUGAACCUAAUGAUGUUGCGGCUUCAAAGAAGACCAAAUCUGCAGAUGCUGCCAGACUAACUGAGGCUGACAAGGCCAACACUGGCAGGGCAUUGCAGUGUUCUGCUAUUCUGUGACGGUGUCUGUUGGUGGGAUCUUAGCCUCCCGCUACCUGCACCAGACGAUGCUCUACAACGUCCUGAUAAUUUGCUAUUUGUCCAGAAACCAUUUUGAUAUUGAAGCUAGCUUUUAAAGCCUUUUUUCUUUUUUCUUUUUCUCUCUGAUAGGCAUUGCAGUGUUCUGCUAUUCUGUGGCGGUGUCUGUUGGUGGGAUCUUAGCCUCCCGCUACCUGCACCAGACGAUGCUCUACAACGUCCUGAGAUCGCCCAUGUCUUUCUUCGAACGCACACCCAGUGGCAAUCUGGUCAACCGCUUUGCCAAAGAGACAGACACCAUUGACUCGGUCAUCCCUAGCAUCAUAAAAAUGUUCAUGGGCUCCAUGUUUAAUGUGCUGGGCUCAUGUGCUGUCAUCCUCAUUGCCACACCGCUGGUAGCCAUCAUCAUCCCGCGCUGGGCCUGUUCUACUUUUUUUUCUUUUUUUCUUUUUAGUUUGUCUCUUGCAGAAGCCUCUC
rnacentral:lncRNA from 1 species